AUGCAAGUCGAACGAAGUAGUAAUACUUAGUGGCAGACGGGUGAGUAACAUGUGGGUAUCUGCCCUUUGGCCUGGAAUAACACGAGGAAACUUGUGCUAAUACUGGAUAAGUCUUUACAGAGAAAGCUUUAUGCACCAUUGGAUGAGCCCGCACUUGAUUAGUUUGUUGGUGGGGUAAUGGCCUACCAAGACUGUGAUCAAUAGCUGAUUUGAGAGGAUGAUCAGCCACAUUGGGACUGAGACACGGCCCAAACUCCUACGGGAGGCAGCAGUGGGGAAUCUUGCACAAUGGAGGAAACUCUGAUGCAGCGAUGCCGCGUGAGUGAAGAAGGCCCUUGGGUUGUAAAGCUCUUUCGUCGGGGAAGAAAAUGACUGUACCCGAAUAAGAAGGUCCGGCUAACUUCGUGCCAGCAGCCGCGGUAAUACGAAGGGACCUAGCGUAGUUCGGAAUUACUGGGCUUAAAGAGUUCGUAGGUGGUUGAAAAAGUUGGUGGUGAAAUCCCAGAGCUUAACUCUGGAACUGCCAUCAAAACUUUUCAGCUAGAGUUUGAUAGAGGAAAGCAGAAUUUCUAGUGUAGAGGUGAAAUUCGUAGAUAUUAGAAAGAAUACCAAUUGCGAAGGCAGCUUUCUGGAUCAUUACUGACACUGAGGAACGAAAGCAUGGGUAGCGAAGAGGAUUAGAUACCCUCGUAGUCCAUGCCGUAAACGAUGUGUGUUAGACGUUGGAAAUUUAUUUUCAGUGUCGCAGCGAAAGCGAUAAACACACCGCCUGGGGAGUACGACCGCAAGGUUAAAACUCAAAUGAAUUGACGGGGACCCGCACAAGUAGUGGAGCAUGUGGUUUAAUUCGAAGAUACGCGCAGAACCUUACCAACACUUGACAUGUUCGUCGCGACUUUAAGAGAUUAAAGUUUU
rnacentral:rRNA from 1 species